UCUCCUGGAAACGGGUGGUAAUGCCGGAUGCUCCGACUCCUCGCAUGGGGUGUCGGGAAAGAUUUCAUCGGUAUGGGAUGGGGUCGCGUCCUAUCAGGUAGUCGGCGGGGUAACGGCCCACCGAGCCUACGACGGGUAGCCGGCCUGAGAGGGCGACCGGCCACAUUGGGACUGAGAUACGGCCCAGACUCCUACGGGAGGCAGCAGUGGGGAAUAUUGCACAAUGGGCGCAAGCCUGAUGCAGCGACGCCGCGUGCGGGAUGACGGCCUUCGGGUUGUAAACCGCUUUUGAUCGGGAGCAAGCCUUCGGGUGAGUGUACCUUUCGAAUAAGCACCGGCUAACUACGUGCCAGCAGCCGCGGUAAUACGUAGGGUGCAAGCGUUAUCCGGAAUUAUUGGGCGUAAAGGGCUCGUAGGCGGUUCGUCGCGUCCGGUGUGAAAGUCCAUCGCUUAACGGUGGAUCUGCGCCGGGUACGGGCGGGCUGGAGUGCGGUAGGGGAGACUGGAAUUCCCGGUGUAACGGUGGAAUGUGUAGAUAU
rnacentral:rRNA from 2 species